GACGAACGCUGGCGGCGUGCUUAAUACAUGCAAGUCGAGCGAGGCCCAUCCAGUGGCAACACUGGGGAAGGCCGAGCGGCGAACGGGUGAGUAACACGUGAGCAACCUGCCCCGAAGUCUGGAAUAACAUCGGGAAACCGGUGCUAAUACCGGAUUGCCCCACCUGACCGCAUGAUCGGGUGAGGAAAGAUUUAUCGCUUCGGGAGGGGCUCGCGGCCUAUCAGCUAGUUGGCGGGGUAACGGCCCACCAAGGCGUCGACGGGUAGCUGGUCUGAGAGGACGACCAGCCACACUGGGACUGAGACACGGCCCAGACUCCUACGGGAGGCAGCAGUAGGGAAUCUUGCGCAAUGGGCGAAAGCCUGACGCAGCAACGCCGCGU
rnacentral:rRNA from 1 species